AUGUAUUUCUGCACUUCACAGCAUAGAACUCCAUCUACUGCUUUUCAUCAUGGUGUACUGAGAAGACCAGUCGGCAGGGAAAACCGUGGACUCACCCAAACUCUGUCACGAGCCCAGAUUUUUUCCCUGAGUUCCAGUCCUCAAUGCCCCAUGGACAAACGCAUCUCUCACCUUCAUCUCUUUUUUGAGCCUCACCAGUCCCCAAAUCAAAGUUUUCUCCAGGUAAGUGCUUUGUUGCAGCUCUAUCUUUACAUGUUUGUAAUUCAUAAAAUGAAAAGCCCCAAGCAUUAUUCAUGUUUCUAUUCCUAGUACCUAUCAUAGCAACUUGCACAUAGAAUACAGUUACUGAAUAGGUUGAGUGAAUUAACUAGAAAAUACUAUUCUUUAUUUCAUAUGGCUUAGGAAAUUAUUGGUCUUUUUUUUUUUUUUUUUUAGUUAAGAAAUGACAUGUUCAGAUUUGUAAUUUAAAAUUAAUCUGGAUGUAAAAAAAUGGCAGUGGAGUGUAUGACAGAGAGGGGCAUGUGUAAAGAGUCACAGAAACUCUAGGUACCAAUGAUAAAACCUUUCUAAUGCAGUGGUACCUCCAAGGAAUAACGAAAAAGAAUCCCCCACUUCCCUUACACAUUGUAGCUUUUAAAGACAUACAUCAUUUGGGAUGACUACUGUGUCCAGUGAUUCUAAAAUAAAUCUUUGCUGCCAUCUUGUGGAAAAAUAUUU
rnacentral:lncRNA from 1 species